rnacentral:lncRNA from 1 species
AGGAUUCUGUACUUCUGCAUUUCAUAUAUAGAAAUUCUGAAUGUAGGAUUCUAUUUCUACACUUCAUAUAGAGAUCCUAACAAUAGGUCUUCUGCACUUACGCAUACAGAAACCAUGUCUUUAAGGUGUUGCAUUUUACAUCUAUCAUGAGGCAAACUGUUGUAGGUUAAAUAGUAAUCAAUUCCAUUCUAGACACCAUUUCCAUAGGAUUCAUG